UCGUGAGACAGUUCGGUCCCUAUCCGCUGCGCGCGGAGGAAUCUUGAGAAGGGCUGUCUUUAGUACGAGAGGACCGAGACGGACUGACCUCUGGUGUGCCAGUUGUUCUGCCAAGAGCAUGGCUGGUUGGCUACGUCGGGUUGUGAUAACCGCUGAAAGCAUCUAAGCGGGAAGCCUGUUUCGAGAUGAGGUUUCUGU
rnacentral:rRNA from 1 species